UACGGGGGGGGCAAGCGUUGUUCGGAAUUACUGGGCGUAAAGGGCGCGUAGGCGGCCUGCUAAGUCGGAUGUGAAAUCCCUCGGCUCAACCGAGGAACUGCAUCCGAUACUGGCGGGCUUGAAUCCGGGAGAGGGAUGUGGAAUUCCAGGUGUAGCGGUGAAAUUCGUAGAUAUUGGGAAGAACACCGGUGGCGAAGGCGGCGACCUGGUCCGUGACUGACGCUGAGGCGCGAGAGCGUGGGGAGCAAACAGG
rnacentral:rRNA from 1 species